UCAACUCAUCUUUGCAGAAACCCAACCAACAUACAUAUCUGGGUUUGUUUUGGCCAGAGCUCGAGGCUUUCCGGGUAUCAAGCUCUUCAAGUUGAUGAGACAGCUCCUCCACCUUAUCUCCAAGUCUAGAAGCCCCUAGAUCGGCCAACCUCAAUGAUUUACUUGCUGCCAUGGCAACAUCUGUUGUUUCUUCUUUGAAUGUAAGUUUAUUCUUAAACUCUAUCACUGCUUGCUUCGCCUCUUCAACUUCUUAUCGGACAGCUAAUAACUGCAAGAACAUAAAAAAAACAUGGUCAACUCAAAAUUGGAAUGGAGUAGCAUAGAGGAUCAGAAAACAACAUAGUACACAAAUGAUCAAAAUUCAUUUUCUGUGGGAGCUUUUAUAACCUUCCGUGUAAGAAUUGUAUUUUUAUAGCCAUAUUUACAGGUUUUUAAGUACUAAUCUAUCUUGAAGAGUAAUAUAAAAAGAAUACACUCUAAAAUGCUUUAUAGAAGUUGUCCAAACUUGCAAACAAUGUGCUACCAAAGUUCAUAAGGUUGCCUCCUGUUUGCAACUCUGAUGACAUCUGAGAGUAUAUGAACUUCACAUGAUAUGAAAAGAUAAAUAUUCAAUUCAAAUAAAUGAAAAUCCUGAAUUGAUCUUUACUACUUCUAUAUAUCACAAAAUUGUCCUAUAUAUCAUACUCUUUAAGUAAAUGCUCUUUUAAGAUAAUGACAUAUUUCUAGUCAGAUUAUGUUUUAGGAGGUUAAAUUCCAAUUUAUCCUUCAUGAAGUGAUGGAAUAUCAAUUUUAAUGUCAGACCAUACCCUCAUGAAGUGGACUUUAGGAGCACA
rnacentral:lncRNA from 1 species